rnacentral:rRNA from 1 species
GAUGAACGCUGGCGGCGUGCCUAAUACAUGCAAGUCGAGCGAACAGAUGAGGAGCUUGCUCCUCUGACGUUAGCGGCGGACGGGUGAGUAACACGUGGAUAACCUACCUAUAAGACUGGGAUAACUUCGGGAAACCGGAGCUAAUACCGGAUAAUAUAUUGAACCGCAUGGUUCAAUAGUGAAAGACGGUUUUGCUGUCACUUAUAGAUGGAUCCGCGCCGCAUUAGCUAGUUGGUAAGGUAACGGCUUACCAAGGCAACGAUGCGUAGCCGACCUGAGAGAGUGAUCGGCCACCCUGGAACUGAGACACGGUCCAGACUCCUACGGGAGGCAGCAGUAGGGAAUCUUCCGCAAAGGGCGAGAGCCUGACGGAGCAACGCCGCGUGAGUGAUGAAGGUCUUCGGAUCGUGAAACUCUGUUAUUAGGGAAGAACAAAUGUGUAAGUAGCUAUGCACGUCUUGACGGUACCUAAUCAGAAAGCCACGGCUAACUACGUG